GAUUAGUGGCGACGGGUGAGUAACACGUGGGCAAUCUGCCCUUCACUCUGGGACAAGCCCUGGAAACGGGGUCUAAUACCGGAUAACACUCUGUCCUGCAUGGGACGGGGUUAAAAGCUCCGGCGGUGAAGGAUGAGCCCGCGGCCUAUCAGCUUGUUGGUGGGGUAAUGGCCUACCAAGGCGACGACGGGUAGCCGGCCUGAGAGGGCGACCGGCCACACUGGGACUGAGACACGGCCCAGACUCCUACGGGAGGCAGCAGUGGGGAAUAUUGCACAAUGGGCGAAAGCCUGAUGCAGCGACGCCGCGUGAGGGAUGACGGCCUUCGGGUUGUAAACCUCUUUCAGCAGGGAAGAAGCGCAAGUGACGGUACCUGCAGAAGAAGCACCGGCUAACUACGUGCCAGCAGCCGCGGUAAUACGUAGGGUGCGAGCGUUGUCCGGAAUUAUUGGGCGUAAAGAGCUCGUAGGCGGCUUGUCACGUCGGAUGUGAAAGCUCGGGGCUUAACUCCGAGUCUGCAUUCGAUACGGGCUAGCUAGAGUGUGGUAGGGGAGAUCGGAAUUCCUGGUGUAGCGGUGAAAUGCGCAGAUAUCAGGAGGAACACCGGUGGCGAAGGCGGAUCUCUGGGCCAUUACUGACGCUGAGGAGCGAAAGCGUGGGGAGCGAACAGGAUUAGAUACCCUGGUAGUCCACGCCGUAAACGUUGGGAACUAGGUGUUGGCGACAUUCCACGUCGUCGGUGCCGCAGCUAACGCAUUAAGUUCCCCGCCUGGGGAGUACGGCGCAAGCUAAACUCAAGGAAUUGACGGGGGCCCGCACAGCAGCGGAGCAUGUG
rnacentral:rRNA from 1 species